rnacentral:rRNA from 14 species
GUCUGUGGCCACACCACCCUGAGGACUCCUGAUCUUGUCAGAUCUUGGAAACUAAGCAAGGUCUGGCUCAGGUCUUGUCUGAGGCUAAACAAC